rnacentral:lncRNA from 1 species
AUGGGAUACCGGAAGGAAGGGCAAACGGGCCGAGCACGUUCGCGACUGAUGAGCGGCGCCGAGGGCCGCCCCAGACAGUGGCUCAGGAACAAAGUCACGCCCAAAGGCACUGGCACAUCCUGUCACCCACCUGUGACCAUCAUCGCCUGUUCGAUAAACGUCUUUUCACUGGGAGAAGAAAGCAGCUUCAUCAGCCCCCCGCCCCUUUAUUGCCAUGUGAUGCGUGGAGUAACCAAUCAGCAGCGCACUCUGUGCGUGGCCACGCCCACACCCAUGUCCCAGCGUGCCGUGGCCUUCCCCCGCGGCGGAGACCUUCGCCUGGGGGACAACUGGAGCUUGUAGUCCUAUCGGUCUUCUUCGACAUGAUCGAUGCACAAGCAUAUGUAAACGAAGCUGAUUGGCUGGAGGGGUUUAGACCUCAUGAUGGCUCUGUACCUUAAAUUUACACCUGUCACUCAGGGAAGGAAAGCGGUACCUUGGCGGAAGCGGGAGGAAGCCAGAGCUAGGAUCGGGAGCCUCUUGGAAGAGGUAUCACCAAGGAGGAAAUGGGUACAUAUGGAGCAAGAACGGAACCAGUGAUGCAGCCAUGCCCGGGUGCGAAUGAUGGGAAAAGGGGGCGGGGUUCAUCAUAAACCGCACAUACGGCUCUAGGUGGGGCUGCCCUCCAUGGUGGAAGACCGUAUUUCACAACCCGCAACGAACAAAAACAAAGGCCACCCUCAGGACCAUUACCUCCAAACAGCAUUUUUAUAUAAUGCUAUAUAUAACUAUAGAAGUUUGGUAAAAGCAUAGCAAAACUAUAUAUAUAUAUAUAUCUAUCUAUGGUGGGUAAAUAUACUAGAUAUAUAAUAUUCAUACUUUAUAUAACUGGGAAAAAUGAUUAUUGUUGGUGGAAUAACUUGUAUGUUCUCAAACUAACAGAAGGACACAAAGUUGCUUAAAUAUUUAGUAUUUCUAGAUUUUUGCUUCUCACUUGCCACAUAGAUAGGUAUGGUACGCCAAAUCUAUAAUUUCAACUGUAAAACGAUGCUUCUCAGAGCAAAACCAAAUAAUAAAAAAAUAAUAAUAAAAAAAAAAAUCCUCCA